rnacentral:rRNA from 1 species
GGGAGUGGCAAGCGUUAUCCGGAAUUAUUGGGCGUAAAGCGUCCGCAGGCGGCCCUUCAAGUCUGCUGUUAAAAAGUGGAGCUUAACUCCAUCAUGGCAGUGGAAACUGUUGGGCUUGAGUGUGGUAGGGGCAGAGGGAAUUCCCGGUGUAGCGGUGAAAUGCGUAGAUAUCGGGAAGAACACCAGUGGCGAAGGCGCUCUGCUGGGCCAUCACUGACGCUCAUGGACGAAAGCCAGGGGAGCGAAAGGGAUUAGAUACCCCUGUAGUCCUGGCCGUAAACGAUGAACACUAGGUGUCGGGGGAAUCGACCCCUUCGGUGUCGUAGCUAACGCGUUAAGUGUUCCGCCUGGGGAGUACGCACGCAAGUGUGAAACUCAAAGGAAUUGACGGGGGCCCGCACAAGCGGUGGAGUAUGUGGUUUAAUUCGAUGCAACGCGAAGAACCUUACCAGGGUUUGACAUCCUGAGAACCUCUUAGAAAAGGAAGAGUGCCUUCGGGAACGCAGUGACAGGUGGUGCAUGGCU